GACGAACGCUGGCGGCGUGCCUAAUACAUGCAAGUAGAACGCUGAAGAGAGGAGCUUACUCUUCUUGGAUGAGUUGCGAACGGGUGAGUAACGCGUAGGUAACCUGCCUUGUAGCGGGGGAUAACUAUUGGAAACGAUAGCUAAUACCGCAUAACAAUGGAUGACACAUGUCAUUUAUUUGAAAGGGGCAAUUGCUCCACUACAAGAUGGACCUGCGUUGUAUUAGCUAGUAGGUGAGGUAAUGGCUCACCUAGGCGACGAUACAUAGCCGACCUGAGAGGGUGAUCGGCCACACUGGUACUGAGACACGGCCCAGCCUCCUACGGGAGGCAGCAGUAGGGGAUCUUCGGCAAUGGGGGCAAUCCUGACCGAGCAACGCCGCGUGAGUGAAGAAGGUUGUCGGAUCGUAAAGCUCUGUUGUAAGUCAAGAACGGGUGUGAGAGUGGAAAGUUCACACUGUGACGGUAGCUUACCAGAAAGGGACGGCUAACUCCGUG
rnacentral:rRNA from 1 species